AUUGAACGCUGGCGGCAUGCUUUACACAUGCAAGUCGAACGGUAACAGGCCUUCGGGUGCUGACGAGUGGCGCACGGGUGAGUAAUGCAUCGGAACGUGCCCAGAGGUGGGGGAUAACGCAGCGAAAGCUGUGCUAAUACCGCAUGUGAUCUGAGGAUGAAAGCGGGGGACCAGGCAGCAAUGUUUGGCCUCGCGCCUUUGGAGCGGCCGAUGUCAGAUUAGGUAGUUGGUGGGGUAAAGGCCUACCAAGCCGACGAUCUGUAGCUGGUCUGAGAGGACGACCAGCCACACUGGGACUGAGACACGGCCCAGACUCCUACGGGAGGCAGCAGUGGGGAAUUUUGGACAAUGGGCGCAAGCCUGAUCCAGCAAUGCCGCGUGCGGGAAGAAGGCCUUCGGGUUGUAAACCGCUUUUGUACGGAACGAAAAGGCUCUGGCUAAUACCGGGGGCUGAUGACGGUACCGUAAGAAUAAGCACCGGCUAACUACGUGC
rnacentral:rRNA from 1 species